UACGUAGGGCGCGAGCGUUAUCCGGAAUUAUUGGGCGUAAAGAGCUCGUAGGCGGUUUGUCGCGUCUGCCGUGAAAGUCCGGGGCUCAACUCCGGAUCUGCGGUGGGUACGGGCAGACUAGAGUGAUGUAGGGGAGACUGGAAUUCCUGGUGUAGCGGUGAAAUGCGCAGAUAUCAGGAGGAACACCGAUGGCGAAGGCGGCAUCCUGGACCAACACUGACGCUGAGGAGCGAAAGCCAGGGGAGCAAACAGG
rnacentral:rRNA from 1 species